rnacentral:lncRNA from 1 species
UUGUCUCUACUAUGGAUUAUGGCAACUGUGCUCACCCUGCCUCUGAUGAUUAAAUGCCAACACUUGGCCCUUGUCAUCUCAGAAUACAGUUAUUUCCAUGACAUUUAAGCUUUUUAAUUGAGUGAUUAAGGUUCCCACUGUAAGGUCCAGACUAAAGAUUAAGAGUAAUCACGGAGCUCUUCAGGGAUGCUGGGUCUCCCCCAAUGAAUCUAUUUCUCAAUGUGUUCAUGAAAGGUGUGUCUUCUGGAUUCUUCCAGUGUGGUGAGGAUUGGAGAAUUGUACACUGGAGAAUGAUGAUGUUCCAGGCACUCCUCAUGACACAACUCGCAGAAUCCCUCCAACAUUUCUAUGAUGUGGAUGUUGUUAUUUUAUAUAUGAAGAAGAAAACAAUCUAUGACCUUUACUUUCAGGACCACGGAGAGAACCCAUCCCAUGGAGGCUGAUGAUUCACCUCUACCUACCCACCUGAUGGCUGCUAAACACUGGAAUCAACUGUGGGCUUUGCUAGGGAAACAAUAAAAAUAAAAACAAACAAAUACAAAUCCCAAAGCUCAUUAAAGAUCUACCGAAAUAAAACAUUCAGAAUUAGGGAACAGGAACAAUGAAUAUGUUCUUUAAGUAACUCUGAAGAUCAGCCAUGUAUGGGACUUCUGACCUUGCUAUCGAUUUUAUCAAAGCAUUUUGGAAUGCCAUUGUAUUUAUGCACUACCUCUGGGGAUAUGAGGUUGCCAGCAUAAGUUAUAUUUUCUUUAAUGUAAUUACAGAUCUAAAGAAAUUAAGGAAGUUCUUGAGGUUUAUAUUUAGUAUCCUGCCUUCCAGAUCAUGGUUCUUCCUGUUUGGCUAUCUUUUCUCUUAACUCAGGGACCUAACACCCCUAUGUCACACCUUUUUCUGUAAACCUACUCCUUAAUAUACUUAGAUGAGCAAUUAAUGAACAAUUGGCAUAAAUGAGAAAUUCAUAGAAGAGGAUUACAAAUGAUGAAAAACUUUUUGACAAAAAAGAUGCUCAACUACAUAGAUUACCAGGCAAAUGAAAAUUUAACCAUCAGGUAUAUCUUUGUAACUCAUAAGAUUAGUAAGAAAACUUGAUUUUUUAAUGUUGACAACAAUCCCAUAAAAUGGGCAUAUUCAGACAUUUUUGUAAACUUAACACUGAUCAUUUUGCUACCUCACUACUUUUUGCCUUGACUGCCUAAUUUUAUGUAUGUAUGCAUGUAUUCAUUUUUAUUAAGAUAGUGUCUCGCUCUGUUGCCCAGGAUAGAGUGCAGUGGCAGGAUCUCAGCUUACUGCAACCUCCACCUCCUGGAUUCAAGUGGUUCUCCUGCUUUAGCCUCCCAAGUAGUUGAGACUACAGGCACCCAGGACCAUGGACAGUUAAUUUUUAU